rnacentral:ribozyme from 1 species
AGCAAUACCGCACUGAUAUGGGUAUGGAUCCGAAGCGUCUCGAAGGAUAAUAUAGACACUCCAUACUCUGCUCCGACGGGGAAUACGGGGAAACCCAACCCGGUGGGAAGACAGGUUAUAUGGCUGAAUUGAGUGCA